rnacentral:rRNA from 1 species
AUACGUAGGGGCCAAGCGUUGUCCGGAAUCACUGGGCGUAAAGGGUAUGUAGGCGGUCUUGUAAGUCAGAUGUAAAAUCUACGGGCUCAACCCGUAGCCGCAUUUGAUACUGCUUGACUAGAGAGUGCUAGAGGAAAGCGGAACUUCCUGUGUAGCGGUGAAAUGCGUAGAUAUAGGAAGGAACACCAGUGGCGAAGGCGGCUUUCUGGCUAGAUACUGACGCUGAGGCGCGAAAGCGUGGGGAGCAAACAGGAUUAGAAACCCCGGUAGUCC